rnacentral:sRNA from 2 species
AAAAUGGUCUUGUAGGGUUCCGCAAAUUGGUUCAUUUGGUCUGGUCCAAGACAAGGCACACAUCUUUAUAUAAAAAGAUGUGACACGGAGGGAUAAAAGCCCGGGAGAU